AGUGAACGCUGGCGGUAGGCCUAACACAUGCAAGUCGAACGGCAGCACAGUAAGAGCUUGCUCUUACGGGUGGCGAGUGGCGGACGGGUGAGGAAUACAUCGGAAUCUACUUUUUCGUGGGGGAUAACGUAGGGAAACUUACGCUAAUACCGCAUACGACCUACGGGUGAAAGCAGGGGAUCUUCGGACCUUUCGCGAUUGAAUGAGCCGAUGUCGGAUUAGCUAGUUGGCGGGGUAAAGGCCCACCAAGGCGACGAUCCGUAGCUGGUCUGAGAGGAUGAUCAGCCACACUGGAACUGAGACACGGUCCAGACUCCUACGGGAGGCAGCAGUGGGGAAUAUUGGGCAAUGGGCGAAAGCCUGAUCCAGCCAUACCGCGUGGGUGAAGAAGGCCUUCGGGUUGUAAAGCCCUUUUGUUGGGAAAGAAAAGCAGCAGGUUAAUACCCCGCUGUUCUGACGGUACCCAAAGAAUAAGCACCGGCUAACUUCGUG
rnacentral:rRNA from 1 species